rnacentral:rRNA from 1 species
UACGGGGGGGGCAAGCGUUGUUCGGAAUUACUGGGCGUAAAGGGCUCGUAGGCGGCCAACUAAGUCAGACGUGAAAUCCCCAGGCUCAACCUGGGAACUGCGUCUGAUACUGGAUGGCUUGAAUCCGGGAGAGGGAUGCAGAAUUCCAGGUGUAGCGGUGAAAUGCGUAGAUAUCUGGAGGAACACCGGUGGCGAAGGCGGUUCUCUGGGCCUUACCUGACGCUGAGGAGCGAAAGCAUGGGUAGCGAACAGG